rnacentral:tRNA from 6 species
GGAGGGAUGGCUGAGUGGUCGAAAGCGGCGGUCUUGAAAACCGUUGAGUGUAACAGCUCCGUGGGUUCGAAUCCUACUCCCUCCGCCA